AAAGGGAGACCUAAUUCAGGUAGGAGACGAAAAAAAAGUAGUCGCUACCAAGAAUCAAUCCCAAAAGGUCGGAGCGAGGCGAAAUUGGCUUUCAAACUAGGUUCUGGGUUCAAACAAGACCUGAAUCAGGAACAAGGGCUAUUAGCUCAGGUGGUUAGAGCGCACCCCUGAUAAGGGUGAGGUCCCUGGUUCGAGUCCAGGAUGGCCCACCUGUACAGGUGGCAAAAACAAGAGAAGCGAGGAAUCAGCACCUUAUCUUACUUAUAUAGUAAGAGAGAAUGCUGGCUCUGAGUAAAGAGUCCAGAGGAACCUUGAAAACUGCAUAGAGCUAGGUGAAAAAGCCAAAAAAGAAGACCGCAAG
rnacentral:tRNA from 1 species